UUUUUUUUUUUUUUUGAAAGUGAUAGACAUGGAUAAAAAGAUAUACUACUAUUAUCAAUUGGUGGCCUAAGUUUAAUUUUUAGUAAGGUAUACAUACACUUUGAGUGCUUUUGAUAUAAUUGAAGUAUGAAAUCUGAAAUCUAAAACAUGAAUUGUUAAGUUGCUGAAUUGUUAAGUACUGAAAUUUUACAUUUGAGUAUAUCUUACGUUAAGUGAUAAGUGAAUAAUUUAUCACUUAUUGUUUUGAGUAAGUUUUGUCUAAAUAAUUCAGAGUCACGCAAUUAAGAAAGACGUUUUAUUUUUCUAUUAUUAAACACGUCUAAAAAUAUUAAGAUUUGAAUCUAUUAAAUUUAAAUGGUGAAUUGGGUUAUCAAAGACGCCCUUUGUUCUGUUCCAAGAUUUUUUUAGAUAACUGGAAUCCAGUCAAGAGUUUAUGGACUUUCUUUUGAUUGAAUACUGUGACAUGUUCAAGAGUCAUAAUUUUUAAUACAACCAUAAUAAGUUAACAAGUGUUAUGAUAUCUAAUUACUUUUGUGUCGUUUUAAUUUUAUUGUGUAAUGAGAUUCAUGCACACAUAUCUAUUGAAAUAUUCCUCUUCAAUUUGUUAGAUGGAUGCAGAAGAAUUGUGAUUUACAAGUAAAUUUUUUCCCCAAAUGAUGGAUAGUACUCUUAUUAUGGACAUGGACAUAUCCUUUUGUCAACAACAGUUAACACACACAUAGGAUUCUUGCAAUCAAAGGUAACAAAACUUUGUGAUUUUGACCUCGCAAAUCUCCAAUCACAAAUGAAUGGGAUUCUUGCAAUCAAUUCACCUAGGAUUCUUGCAACUCUGCAAUUACAGCUAAGAGUGAGAUAAAUUUGCAAACUAGAUGGCAAAACUUCCGCUGACUUUUCACGUUUGCCAUGUUUUAGCAGGGAUUGGAAAUUGAUGGGAUCUGUGGACCCUUUCCAUGUAGGAUAAGCAAACGUGGGGUCAUGCUGAUCCACCGUUCAGCCGACUUUAGUCGGCUAAUCUCCAUGAAAACUCAUCCAUUUCUGCUCAGACAAAUCUCAUUAGAUCAAAAAAGGUGUUCUGACAAUUCAUUUAGAUUUUUUUUUUAUUAUAGGUGGAGUUCGAAUCUCCCAUUUACGGUUCAAAAAGGGACUCUUUGAAUAGCCAUUGAUGCAAAGCUUAGUGGUUAGCAUCAGCUCUCCUAAUGGGGGCUGUUCCUAUGGAGUGGUGGAGACAGAUCAAUCAAUCUUAUUAAUUCACCAAAAUCAUCUUGAAUGGCAGGAAGCAGUCAAAGAAAAGAGCCCUGAUCAAACGGAGGUUCUACCUGAAUUAAUAUCAAAUGUUUAUGCGUUAAAAGACGGAGAAAUUAGUUGUUUUUAGUCGGUAAUUGUGACAUGAGAAAUUCUAGAUUAAUGCUACUUGAAGAACGUCUAGAGGGAAUCAUGCCAUGACCACCCUUCUGUCACGUUGUCAUCCAGCAAUUCAUUUGAUGACAAAGCAAUCAUUCUAAUAAUCAAGUACGAAUUCAUGGCUUUUGAUUUUAAAUAAUACAACAAUAAAAAAGGAGAAUGAGACUUUUACUUUGAUUUAUGUUUUUGGCGAUGAAAAAUUAAUUGAGACGUCUUACUUACUAAUUAUAGUCGCAUGCAUCAAAUGUUAACCUAGUACUAUUAUUCAGCAGUUGUGAUCUAAGUUUCGUAACUUUUUCAAUUUGUAUGAGAGGGAUUAUACUCAAAAUCGUGUCCACUAACAUUGUGUAGUAACUAUCGACUAGGUUUUCAAUUUAUAGUGACUUUAGUAUUUCGAAUCAAGAUUUAGUUGUAAAUAUUAAGAGUCGAUACUAAAAAUGCGAAUAUAAACAAUGAAUUUAGAACGGGAGAAGCCGAAGACACUGAAUAUUGGGGAAAAAUGAUUUUCAAUUUAAUAUUUUAUAACAAGGAAAAAGAAAAAUAAUAAAAUUUUAUAAAAUAUACAUCACAUUUUUUAGUGUUACUAAACGUUUUAAACAAAAGAAAAGAUUAGAUGAUUUUUUCAUUGAUGUUAAAAUGGAAAACAGGAAAACCAUCGAAAUAGUCAACAAUCUUCUUUAGCCGAGCCCGUCGUCAUAAAUGUAUAUUAAUGGUUUGAACCAGAAUUGGAACCUUUGAUUAUGGUAUUGGUCCUUUUUUUUUUUUUGGAACUAAACCUUUACUUAGAGUUAGCUUAGUCAAGUAAUUUCUUUUUGAAAAAAAAAAAAACUUUUGAAAAGCAAGGACUUGGGAUUUGGGAAGGUGGAAAUAGGAAUGUGAAAUCCCACCCCCUAAAAAAAAAAAAGAAAAGAAAAGAGGAAGAGAAGUUAGAAAGAAAAAAAAACGAAGGCAAGGAACAUUCCAUAGAGCAAACCGUGAUCAAUUGGAACAGUUAAUAACGGAAAAAGAUUCUCUAUUUGGAUUGACCUAUUUUUCAAAAACUAAUUUUUCAAAUACAAUAUUUCAAUAAUGUACAAACAAAAAAAUAACUCAAAAAAUAUAUGAUUCAUACAAUAUAUCAAAAACAACUCACAAAUAUACACAAAAAAUUAAAAAAAAAAUAAAUUUUACAACAUUUUUCACCUAUCACCAUCACCAACCACCCACUAUCACCACCACUCCCUCCCUCCUCCUUUCUCCCCUCUUCCCCUUCCCUCUUCCUCCUCCCCACCCCCAGAUUGAGGCCUCUAGUCAUGACCAGUUCGUGACCGAAAGGUCACAACUUUUUGGUCAUGAUCUGGAGACCAAAGGCCUCUAUCUUGUCGAGACUAGAUCAAGAUCGAGAGGGAGAGGAGGGGCCGACGGGUGAGGUGAAGGGAAGAGGAGGAGGAAGAGAAAAGGGGAGGAGGAAAAUGAAGAAGGUAGUGGCGGUGGUGGGUGGGUAGAGAUAGUGGCUGUGGUGGUUGUGGGUAGUAGUAUUAAUUUUUAAAAAUAUGAUAAAAAUAUUUUAUUUUUAAAAGUUACUCCAAAAUAUAUUUCAAAAACCCUUCAAAAAAAUUACAAAAAUUACAGUAAAAGUUUUUUAUAUACAUUUCUAUAAUAAAAUAUUUCAAAAACACCCCAAAAAAUAGUUAAUCCAAACGGAGCCAACCGACAGUGAUAGAUUUGUAGUUUAUUAUGAAGAUAAACGAUUGUAAUUAAAAAACAAAGAUAAACGAUUGUUCCGCACUUCUUUUUUUCUUUAUUAUUAUUAUGUUGGAAGACUUGGUUUAAGAAUAAUGAGGUGUGUAUAUUUAGAGAAAUAACUAAACUUUUCUAUUGUGUAACGCCACUUUGGAAACUCUGAAAACAAUAUCAUAAUAAACUUUUUUCUUUAAUUCGAUUUUUUGUAUUUUAAAGUUUUUUUUCUUCUUCAAAGAUUUUAAACUUGCACCGACAACAAGGACAUGUCUAAAUGAUUUACAUCCAUUUCAAACAAGAAUUAGAGGAUACACGAUCGUGCGCACAGACUAUAUAUAUAUGUGUGUGUGUGUGUGUGUGCACUUAAUUAAAUUACCUAUUUUUUCUCUUAUAUUGGCAUACCUAAUUAAGAAAAGAUAAAAUUAAUGGGUCAUUUGAAUGCUUGGUUUUUACCCAUAUUUGUAUUGAACUCUUUUCAAGUUUAGUUUUUCUUACACUUUCUCUCUUAUGGUUCUCCUCGCUUCUAAUACUAUUAUCUUUUUGUUAAAUAGGUAUAAUUUUUUGUCAAUAUGGAUUAACUUUACCUAGUGUCAAGAAAAAUUUAUUUAUUGUGACUUGAACUGCUACGCUAAAUAAUUAAUUUUAUUGAUCAAAAUUGAUUAUUUGUUCAUGAGAAAAUGAAUUGUCAAAUUUUUUAUAUUUAAUUGAGUUCAAAUAUGUAGUUCUAGGUUUAUGGUCAUUAUAAAAAUUCUAAUUAUCUCAAAGAAUAUCUAUUUGAUUUGUCAGCAUGCAUUGUAGUAUUUGUUGAAUAUGAUAUUUUCUACAUUUAAUAUCACUGAAAUGUAGGAAUUUUGUCAAUGACAUUCAUACUUGUACAAAUUCACAAGUAAUAAAAAAAAGUGCUAAGGUGUAGGCUAAAUUCUAGUACUGUAGUCAACAUAUACUAACAAAAUCAUCAAUUAAAGAAUAGCACUAAUUCUUUUAUCUCUGUCUGUCUAUGUAGAUGUAGCAGGAAAAAAAAGCACAUUACUGGAGUUUGUCAUUAAAUCAAAUGUUUUCAAAAACAUAAUUUCAUGUAGGGAAGAAAUAAGUAGGUAAGUUUAGGAAAGAGUUGAAUUGGAUGGUAAGAUGAAAGAGAUUGUAAAUAGGACGUUUUGGAUUCAAAACCUUGACUUAUCAAAAAAAAAAAAAAGCUAACAAAAUGUAGGCGAGUCGACAAAUAAUCUAGGGUCCUGGCAAUGAAACGUCUAUUAGCUGACAUUUUCAUACUUGGACAAGGCAUAUAAAUUAGUAAGCUGCUCAGGCUUGAUAUAUAUAUAGGCAAUAAUAUAAACAUGAAUUUACACGUAUUAACAUAGUGAAUUAAUUUUUUUACACAAGUUCUUACGGGAAAGUAUAAAAGACAACUGUAAAGAAACACAACUCGAUAAAAUUGUUCGAGUUGUCUCUUCAAUUAUCAUGUCAACCACUACAUGGGGCAUUUGGUUGGCUUUUAUUCAUUAAACUGCAACUUGUAUUGAAAACGUGGUGAGAGAGUCGUCACAUGUUUCAAAAAAUGAAAAAAAAUCAGCAAAUAGAAGAAAUAGCAAUCGGUCUGGUUAAGUGAAAACGUGAUCCACAUUCGAUUUGAAUUUUUACCAUGAGAAGGAAAAUCAGUAACUUGUUCCCUUUUCUCCAUUGCAGAUUAUCACUACUCUAUAAAUACUUCAGGGUUUUUUACAAGUAACGCAACAAGAAACCGAGCAGUUUUUGCAUAACUUCUGAUGAUGUCGGGCAUGAGGGUUUUGAUCUUACAAGUUGUCGUCUUUCUUCUUUUGGGUGGUCUUUUACCUACCCAAGCUUUGAUCCAUAGAUAUAAGUUCGUGGUAAGUAUAAACUUAUUCUGUUUUAUUAGGAAGGUUACAAAUUACAUAUAAUGGCAUCCGAGGUAUCUUGAAUAUCCUUUGACUAGCCACCUAACCAGAAGUUUAUCUUUUCUUCUUUUCAUUUUUAUUUUUUUAACUUUUAAAAUUUUACUCUCUUACCCUUCUUUAAAAUAGCUUCCAGAGUUGCUACAUUAGUCCCAACUCCCAGUAAAAAGAUCACUAAUGAAGUUUGGCUUGCAUUUUCAGCUUUUGUAAUAUUAUCUUGCUUUGUAUACACAGGUAAAAGAAGCUCCAUAUACAAAACUAUGCAGCACCAAGAACAUUUUGACAGUAAAUGGUCAAUUUCCUGGACCAACUCUACGCCUUCGUCAAGGAGAUACAGCCUUUGUUCAUGUACACAACAAGGGAAAAGAAAGCAUCACCAUUCACUGGUAUGAUAAUUUUCUUCAUCUUUUCUUGGUCUCAAUAUUACGUGUUCUAAGAGAAGAUAAAGAGCUUAACUUUCUUUCCAGGCAUGGAGUAAAGCAGCCAAGAUUUCCAUGGUCAGAUGGUCCAGAGUAUAUUACGCAGUGCCCUAUGAGGCCAGGAACAAAUUUCACCCAAAAGAUUGUGCUGUCUGAUGAGAUUGGAACGUUGUGGUGGCAUGCUCACAGUGACUGGUCUCGAGCAACAGUUCAUGGUUUACUUGUUGUUUAUCCAAAGAAAGGGACUAGUUACCCAUUGGGGUUUCCAAAGCUUCAAGCAGAAGUGCCCAUGAUUUUAGGUAUAAUGGAAUUCAAAUCAUCUGCUGAGCGCUAAUAUUGAACUGGUCAAUAUAUGUGUGAUUGCCAAUCUUAAGCUGCCUCCUUUGCAAAAAAGUUAAAACAAGAAAAGGAAAGAUUCACCCAUUUAUAUGUUGAAAAACCUGUUAUUUUAACUCUGACUUAGUGCCAGUUUUACAUAAAGGAUCACUACAUUACUAGCGACAUUUUGAAAUUGCAUCUGUGAUUUGAAACUCGACAGAAUAGUGACUCGACCAAGCUCAAGAAUUGGAGCUCUUUCGAUCAUUUUGGCCAAGACCAAAAAACUAGAGAAUUGAAUGACCUCAUAGAAUUGAAUGAGCUCUUUCGACUAAACCAGAAAGUCAGAUCUGAGUUUCAAAACAUUGUAUGGAACGCUGUAAUGCACACCAUUGACUUCCAUAUAGGACAAAAUAAUUUGUUCAUGUAUUCAAGAAAUGGACACCUAAUUAUCUAAAGUGUUGAGAAUGGUGCAGGAGAAUGGUGGAAAAGUGAUAUACAGGAGGUUCUUAGCGAGUUUUCAAGCAGCGGGGGAGAACCAAAUGUCUCUGAUGCUUUCCUAAUAAACGGUCAACCUGGUCUUCUGUAUCCAUGCUCAAGACAAGGUAAACAAGAAUGGAAAUUGAACUCCUUUUCUCCCAUCUUCUUAUUGAAUUUCAUAAGAUCGAUCACAUUCUAUAGUAGCAUGACAUAUUUAUCCAAAUUCUACACUUGUAGUGAGAUAUAAUGUACAUAAUCUUUACUUGCAGACAGUUACAAGUUGACUGUGGAUUAUGGCAAGACUUACUUACUUCGAAUGGUUAAUGCUGCCAUGAACAACAUUCUUUUCUUUUCCGUAGCAAAGCAUCGGAUUACUGUUGUGGGAUCAGACGGAAGCUACACAAAGCCUUUAAAUAGUGGUUACAUUGCAAUAUCCCCCGGCCAAACCAUUGAUUUCCUGCUACAUGCCAAUCAAUCACCUAAUCUCUACUACAUGGCUGCUAAAGCUUAUAAUAGUGCCAGCUCUGUUACAUUCGACAACACAACCACCACAGCCAUUCUCGAAUACCGUGGAAAUUAUACUCCACCUUCAUCUCCAUCUUUCCCAAAUCUUCCGACUUUUAAUGAUACAAUUGCAUCAGCUAAUUUCACAGGGAGCCUUAGAAGCUUAGCGAGUAAAGAAUUCCCUGUUGAUGUCCCAAAAAAUGUUACCACUAAUCUUUUCUUUACACUCUCCAUAAAGUCACUUCCUUGUGAAACAAAUAACACCUGCAAGGGACCUCGAGGCAAUCGAUUCGCGGCAAGUGUAAAUAACAUGAGCUUUGUCAGCCCGAAGAUUGACAUACUUCAGGCUUACUAUAAUCAGAUCAAUGGAGUGUAUAAACCUAAUUUUCCUAGCUUCCCACCUUUGGUAUUCAAUUACACUGCAAGUAACAUUUCGGUUUCCCUACAAACGCCUACUCGAACAACCAAAGUGAAGGUUCUUGAGUAUAACUCGCAUGUGGAGCUUGUUUACCAAGCCACUAAUUUGGUAGCAGGAGUUGAUCAUCCCAUGCAUUUACAUGGACAUAGUUUUUAUGUUGUUGGAUGGGGAUUUGGAACCUUUGACAAGGACAAAGACCCUAAGAACUAUAACCUUGAGGACCCUCCUUUGAUGAAUACAAUUGCAGUUCCGAAGAAUGCCUGGACAGCCAUAAGAUUCAAGGCAAAUAACCCUGGUAAGCGUUAUAUUUAUUAUUAUUUUUUAUCAAGGAUAUUAGUUCUCAGUAAAACUUUGCAAAAAAAAAAAAUCAAACGCCUGCUUACCCCAUUUUUAUACCUAGCUACAGUCAUCACAAUGAAAGCAUGAGUUAGCGAGAUAUCAAUGUGUCCAUCUAGUUCUGAGUUUUUUUAAUUUCUGAUAUGUAUUCUGUUGAUCAUAUCGUUUUUUUAAAUUAACUUCGCUCAGGUCUCUGUAAAAUUAUGCAAAGCUGGUAUUUCUUGGGUGAUAAAUUCAUAAUCAUAGGAAUUUUCCACUCUUUUCAUUGUCAAAGAACAAUAAUUGAUGGAAAUCAAUUUUUGCACAGGCACACACUAUAUAUAUAUAUAUAUAUAUAUAUAUAUAUAUAUAUAUAUAUAUAUAUAUAUAUAUAUAUAUAUAUAUAUGUAAUAUGUAAUUGCAUCUCAUAAUUAAAAUUUGUGUACUUAUUGCAACUAUUAUAAUUGGAAAGGACAUACAAUCUCUUGCAGGAGUGUGGUUGAUGCAUUGCCAUCUUGAACGUCACAUAAGCUGGGGGAUGGAAAUGACCUUCAUUGUUAAAAAUGGAAAGCGUCCGCAGGAAAAAUUGCUGCCUCCACCUCCCGACAUGCCACUUUGCUAAUGUUGCUUAGACAAAGUAUUACAAGUCUUGGACUACUACGGUUUGCAGCGGCUCUAAAGUCAGCUUGUCAAUGAGGCACAAAAAUAAUGUAAACCUAGUUUCUUUCUUUAGUAUUUGCGAGUAAUCUUAAGUAGAUGGUGUGACUUCAGUCUCGUGAAUAAUAGUUUUUGGCACCUUCAAGAAUGAUACAAAAAAAAAAAGAAGAAAUAAAUCCAUGCAUCAAAUGUAGGAUGUAAUAUGUUACUAAAGAAAAAAAAAGGCUUAGUACGUUAUUUAAGUUCCUUUUUUUUGUUUAUGUUUGCUUACAUUUUGAAUGAAGUCAUGUUUACACUUGAUUGUGUAAUUCAUUGUGUUUCAAAUAGGGUGGUAAUUAUUAAUACAAAAGAACCUUCAGUUAUCUUUAGUUAUAUUUGUAUAAUGAUGACAAUAAGUAUAAAACAAAAAACUUCCUAACUAUCUACCCAGAGUUGCUAAAAAAAUAUUAAUAAAGUGAAAAUAUUAAUCUUGGUUCAGCAUUAAAACUUUAUUGCAAUUAUUGUGCUAAAUUCAUAUGAAAAUUUUUGGAUUCUACUCCAAUUUUAUUCUUGCAAAGAUUUCAAAUGAAAUUUUACUGAUUAUAUAAAGUUAUGGCAUUAUGAUGUGUUGAAGAAAAUUAUGAGAUUUUAAAAAUUACAAUAGUAGUCAUUCAAUAUUUUCAUAUUUUGCCUCCAUUUUGACUGCAGUAGUCUUAAUUCUCAUUCAAAGCGAAGUAGUAUAUAUAUUUUUUAUAUGUUAACAAUUAGACUUUUUGAUAUUAAGUGAAAAUCAGUCUAUUUAAAGUAUUAAUCUUUCCCACUAAAAUGGUAUUUUUUUGUCACUCUGUAAUAGAUGAUAAAUUGGUCAUUUCAUCAAUUACUUGGAUGAAAUUAAAUUUUGUAUUAUGUUUUAGUUGAUUGUGUACAGUGCCCAUUAAGAUACUUUAGGGUGUAAACGCAACUACUCUAAUAGUUCGUGGGACUUUUAUGCAAUUAACCCCAUAAUCUAAUCAAAUGAUACCCGAUCUUUUCAGAUUUUAUUCGGGCCGACUACGCACACGAUCUGACGUAUCUGGACUAACGGAUAGAAAGCUGGAAAUUGGACUUAAUUCGCAUCCCUGCGCUAACUCAAAACCCAAUUCUACCCACAACCGUGACAAUGAGCCCAACUACAGAGUCUCAAAAUCCAAUACCAAUAAGCCCAAGAUUUGCACUAAUUUGAUGUAUCCAGCCUCAAUCAGCAAAGAAAGUUCCACAGCCAAGAGAAUGAAAUAUAUUACGAAUGGGUUGAUUUUUAAAAAUAAUUUUUUAGAUUCAUGUUAAUGCGUGAUGUUGAUGAAGUGAAAAAGAAAAGUACUUUUUCUUUAUCUAAAUCUUUUGUGUCCAGAAUGAAAUAUUCUCCUUUUUCAUGGAGAAAAGUUUGCACAGUAUCUGAAUUUUUUUUUCCUGAUGACACUUCCAUAUUAGUGGCGUUCAGCAAUAAUUGGUGAUUUAGAUUAUUAAGGAAAUGGAGAAAAAAAAUUUCCAAUUUGACGUUAAUGCUGUUUCUUUUGCUUGUUUAUAAGCCUAAUAGAAAAAAAAAAAAGUUUAUCAGGCGAACAUUUGUGCAAAGUUGCAACAAGUUUAGCACUUAUUUCUAGCCCCAGUGACAUACUUGUCUUAUUUUACAUAUAUGUUCGUGGACGAAAUGCAGCCUAAUUCGUAAGACAAUUUACCUAUACUUAAGAGAUCUUGAGUUUGAGCCAUCAAAAAGAUAAGUGAAGAACUACUAGGUCCACUACUGAUCCAUGGAUUCUUUCAAAAACAAAUAAGCAAAAAAAAAAAAAAAUGAUUUAAGGAACGUGGGGGAAUUUGCACGCAUAAUAAAAAUCUAGAUGCGAGCUGCAUCUGGACGGUCUUCACCUGCAUAACAAGAAUUCUAAUUAUUCUAUACUAUUGCAGCUUGCUUGCACAGAAAUUGCCUUGCAACUUGCUUGCCCGAACAAUUGCAUAGAAAUUGCCUAUAAAAGUGCAAUAUACGUAAUCACGGUCUUAAUGAUUUUGUCGGGCUGCUGACCUUUCGAUUAAAUUAGUGACAUUGCAAAUAUCUUGUGUUGUGUUAGUCCUCGGACUACUUAAUUACAACUCACUUUGGGCAAAUGUGGCGUGUGUUACUUCAUUUUUUGUUAGGUUCAUAAUCAGGAAAUUAUGUUCCACAUUGAUUUUAAAAGUGGAGAAAUUACGCUUAGUAUGUAAAUGAGGGUUCAAGACCUAACAAUUUAAACAUUUGGAUUAACGUUAAGUUCCUAACUUACGUAUUGGACCUCUUUAACAAGUGACUUAAUAUGUAAUUAAAAUGUAAGUAAGAGUUCGGAACCCAACAAGUUAAACUCUUGGCUCAAGAUAAUCUUUUGGACGAAUUUAACACUUAAGUAAGUAAGAAUUUGAAACCUAAUCAUUUAAACUUUUGAAUCAACGUUGGGAAUCUUUUGGACUAACACUGAAUUCCUAACUUGUAUAUUGCACCUCUUUUAGUGUUUCUUCCUAACAGUACUUUAGUUAUCUUUACGAAGCCAAGGCAAUGUUCUUGACUUACAGAUUGCACCUCUUUGAGUGUUUCAUCCUAACAAUUUUUGAGUUAUUUUUACGAAGCCAAGGUCGGAGAACGCAGACAAGAAGCUGUAAGGUCGGAGAAUGCAGACAAAAAGCUGUAAUUGAGAGAAUCAGUAGGUGAACCAAAAGACCAUACUACUGAAGCUCUCGUCCCAAAUAGAAUGAUUUUUAAGGGCGUCCCAUUUGCUGAGACUGUUACCGAUUUUUUGGUUGGAAAGUAGUCAAAAGCAUGCUUCUAGUCAAGCAGUUCACACAAAAAUUUCUCAGCAACUCGGUUUACAAUUUAAAAACUGAUCACAUGUUAUUUUCUAUAGUGUUGUUUCAAAAAAAAAAUGAAGAAUAAGAAGAAGAAGAAGAAAGAAAGAAAGUAUUGAACUCAUAUUGCUGUGGAACUGGAUUAGACCUUUUCCUCAUCUUUAGGUCCAACGAAUUUGUACAAUCUGAUUUAUACAUUUUUAUUACUAGUUUGUGCACCCCGGUGAAUAAAAAAGUUUAAGCUUCACCUUCUACCAAUUCAACGUUCUAAUUUGAACUCAGUUAUACUUUAAUCAGCAAUUUUUAUAUCUCAAGUUGAAAGCCAUUCAAAAGGAUGACAUGUAAUCAAAAUUGAAGGAAAUAAUUUUGACACGAAAGCAAUGGCGUGUCUAAGGUGUUUUGACCACAUUUUUCCUUCAUUACGAAAGAUUGAAAGAUUCAAGAUUGGGAGCAAAGAGAGUUGGAUUCAGUCCUGCUUAUCUGUUUAGUCAUACUGACCCAAAAUUGACAUGUAGUUAGAUUCAGGAUUUACCAUAUACUAGGAGAAUUAAUAUUGUACAAUGAGACACCAAUUUUAUAUACUACGAUAAAUUAGGAUGCACAGACGCAUGAGUUAUAGACAAAAUGUUCGCAUGUAUUCACGAGUCUUCAACUUCAUAUAUAUUAAAACCUCUUUAGCUGAAGACUAGAUUAUGCCGUCUUCAGUGGUGAUCCCCGAAUCUUUGUUGCUUAAUAUAAAAUGCAGUUGUCACUCUCUAAACUUAAAGCUUGUUAAAGCGAGUUUGUUUAAGCUAUUGAUUUGAACUUUGAGCUAUUUGAAAGUUUCCAUGCUUUUGGAGGCAGCUGAUAAAUUGAUUUUCAAAAGCAAGAGUUCAUCUUAAAUUUCGCCUCUACUACGAGGGAAAAUCUAAUGAAAUCUUCUGUGAUGAUGACAAUCGAAGUAACCACAACCAGGCGUGCAAGUUCCAGCUGGUUUAAACUUGCUUUUGGUAUAUAUAUAUAUAACGCACUUUACAAUCCCACUAGUAUUUGGCAAAAUUCCUCUUUGUCGACCAUUUUGCUUAAUUGGAAAAUGAUAUGAAAAUUCUAGCCUGUAUUUUAGAAGACAAACUACGAAAUUUUGGAGAAAAAAUAGCUCAUUUUGUCUGUGGUGGAGGAUCAUGGGCGUGAAUGUGUGUUAAGUUUUUCCCACAACAAUUGUAAAAGGGGCAAGAUGCUUGGUUAUAAGUAAAAGAAAAAGCCCCAUGCUUUGAGUUAGCUUUUGGGGUGAGAAGCACCCAACACUGAUAUCAAAAUCUGAUUAUAAUGCCUCCUUCCAAUAGACACUCAGAUGAAAUAUUGAUUUGUCCCUAUCCAGUACUCGUCGGAUGAUAGAUUGAUGAUAUGAUCAAACUUAAGGGCCCGAUGCGCGAGGGAAAAGCUAGCCUCAUCCCUUAAGCUAGUUUUUUCCAGUAAAGACUCGGAUAAAAUGUUGCUCAUCGGAUAAAAGAUUGAUGUGAUUCCAACCUAGUACUCGUCGGAUGAAAAGUUGGUGCUGUUCGAACCAAAGGCCCAAUGUAUAAGGGGGAGACUAUUGAGUUUAUCCCACUGGGAUGGGAAGGUCUAAUAGCACCCAACAUUGGUAUCAAAACCUAGUUAUGCCAACUCCCCCAAUAAACACUUAGAUGAAAUAUCGCUCGUUGGAUAAAAGGUUGAUGUUGUCCCAAUCUAGUACCUAUCUAAUGAAAGGUUGAUGCUAUUUCAACCUAGGACUUGAUGUGUGAGGGAAAAAUUAUUGAAUUUAUCCCACAUCAAUUGCAAAAGGAAUAGGAUGCUUAAUUAUCAAUGAGAGGAAAAACUUCACUCCUUGAACUAGUUUUUAGGGUAGGAAGGCCCAAUAGUACCUAACACUAGUAUCAAAGUCCAGUUACGAUGACUACCUCAGUCAACACUCUCGGAUCAGCCCAUGGAAAGAUUGUGAUAGGAUGGGAAGAUUGUUGAGCUUACCUUAUCGUCAGAUGAUAGGUUGAGAUAGGAUGUUUAGUUAUAAGUGUAAGAUACCUGUUGGAUGAUAGGUUGAUGAUCUGAUCCAAUCUAAGGUCCAAUAUAUGAGAGGGGAGAUUAUUGAGUUUAUCCAUAUAGCUAAGGUCCGAUGUAUGAGAGGGGAAAAUGUUGAAUUUUAUCUGAGGGGUGUGGCUUUUCCUUACACUACCACUUCGAUAGCUGAUAUACGAUAAAGUCAACAAUCUCCCCCUUAUAGCUUAACAAUCUCCCCCUUAUCCUACCUAAAGUCAACAGUCUUCCCCUUAUCCCAUCUACCCCUUCUAUAAUCGAUAUCGGAUAAAGUCAACUAUCUCUCUCUUAUCCCUCAACAAUCUCUCCCUUAUUUCACAUCGGUUAUGGAAAGGGUGAGACUUUUUUUCACACUUAUAACUAAGCACACAUUUCCCACAUCAAUCCCUCUCUCUUAUCCCACAUUGGUUAUGGAGGUGAGAGUUUCUCUCGCACUAAUAACCAAGUUCUCUUAUCCCUCAACAAUUCCCCCCUUAUUCGACAUCAGUUAUGAAAACUGUGAGACCUUCUCUCGCACUUAUAACCAAGCACCCUAAUCCCUCAACAAUCUUUCCCUCUCCUUGUCCCACAUUGGUUAUGAAAGGGAUGAGAUUUUCCUCACAUUAAUAACCAAGUUCAUGGAAUGAGUAAGACUUUCCCUCACACUAAGAAUCAAGUUCCAUUAUCCUACAUUGGUUAUGAAAGAGGUGAACCUUUCCCGUACACUAAUAACUAAAGCACCUUUCUCUCACACUAUCCCACAUCGGUUAUAGAGGGAGUGAGACUUUUCCACACACUAAUAACCAAGCUUUAUGGAAGGGGUGAGACUUUCCCUCAUACUAAUAACCAAGUUCAUGGAAGAGGUGAGACUUUCCCUCACACUAAUAACCAAGUUCCCUUAUCCCACAUCGUUAUGGAAGAGGUGAAUCUUUUUCUUACACUAAUAACCAAGCACAUUUCCCUCACACUAUCUCACAUCGGUUAUAGAAGGGUUGAGACUUUCCCAUAUUGAUUAUAGAAGGGAUGAAACUUUCCCUCAUACUAAUAGCCAAGUACCCUGCUUCUUUUUUUCACAACCGAUAUGAGAUAACGAUAUGAGAUAAAUUUAACAAUCUUCUUUUCACAAUCGAUAUGGGAUAAACUCAAUAAUCUUCCCCUCACAACUGAUAUGGGAUAACAAUACGAGAUAAAUUUAACAAUCUUUUCCUCACACAUUGGACAAUUUUUCAUCCAAGUAUCUACAGGAGAGUUGUCUUAACUAGGUUUCGAUACCAGUGUUGGGUGCUAUUAGACCUUCUCAACCCCAAAGCAGUUCAAAGGGUGAGCCAAACUUUGACACCACAGUUGGGUGUUAUUGGCCCUUCUCACCCUAAAAGCAGUUCAAAGAGUGAGGCUUUCCCUCACACUUAUAACCAAGGACCUGUGCUUUUCACAACUAAUUUGCGAUAAACUCAACAAUGCGUAACCAAUGGAAAGCAAGAUUUUCAGCUGGGGUUUAAAUGGACGUUUAUGGUCAUGGUAAUAGGGCACCAAUCAAUUGAUUAAUUCAAUAACUAAUGUUAAUGGGAUGCCAAUACGACAUUUAUUCUAGGGGCUAAAAAACCUUAAUUGAAUUAAGAGAAAGAAAUGUUAAGAUUCCAGCAGAGUGUGUAUGGUCUGGAUAAAGUCGGCCGUUCCAACUAUUCAGUAACGCUGGUCCCAUUUGUUGUUGUUGUUAUGGUUGAUUUUUCUUUUUAAAAAAAUGCAUGCUGGUCCCAUUUGUGAUGAACUGUAAUCAUUGUGUUCUUUCUUAAAAUUGAUAUUUGUGAAAAACUAUGGCAUGUAUUAUGAUUGUCAAUUCUCUGCUCUAUACAAUACUCUUAGAGAUAGCUGUCACCAAAUUUGAAAUAUAUAUAUAUAUAUAUGUGCGCGCAGACACACAUACGCAUACAUAGAAUUGUGUUGUCCUUGUUCUCGUCCUCGUCACGAUAAUCAGAAAGAGGUAGGAAAGUGUUUGGAUAAAGAGACUUGUAAAAAGAUCAAAAGAAGGGACAUAAAAAAACAAACAUGCGUUGAAAAAAAGAACAAAUGCCGGAAACUAACAACACCAAUACCUGAUAAUGUUGUUGAUGGUAGAUAAAUUCAUUGUACAUCAUGAAGGAUUCAGUUAACAUCUGAGAGGCGGUAACAAGAGACAAUUCGGUGAAUGGUUAAUUGGUGGCUCUACCGGAGGCCCUCAAUCCAAAAUAAUGUCUGUUUUUUCCAUGAACGCCUGGCCAGUAGACCUUCAAGCAAGAGGCUUAGGCGUUUCAAUUAAGAAAGGCAAGUUGGGAUUACUAAAGGUACAAGCCAAAUCACACACAUAAAUAAACAGAAGUAUAUAGUCAUAUGUAGGGUUGAUAUGCCAUCUACUCUCGCAUGCAAAACAAUUGAUGAUUGCAUGACGAUUUGACUAGACAAUUUGUUUACUAUGAAUUAUAUGUGAAUUCGAUGUGCAAUUGUUUGUUGUCAAAUGUAAAACAACAUAUCAGAACAGUAUCAAAUGGUUUCUAUUCUUUCGGAAUCAGAAGGCUGAGGCUUUGAGCACGAUUUAAUUAGCUUAAUUAGCAGCAAUGCUAGAAUGCAACCUGACCGCAUGCGUCCAAAUUAUGAGUUCACUAUAGGCAGACCUAACCAAGAUGAUUCUUUUAACAAUAUAAAAGAACUGCAAGUAGCUUUAAUUACUAUAGAUAGUAUUGCAAGAAUGUUGUAUUGACCCUUUCCAACGAUUGAUAAUUAACUAUGUACUUGCAUAAUUAUGUAUGUACAUAAUUAACAAUGUAGUAGCUUUUGACUAUAUACGUACAUAAUUGUAUCCAUGAAAAGCAAAUACCCAUCUACUGCCUUAAUAAGGAUGUCAAUAAGAAUUCUCCCAAGUACAUAAUUAACUAUCAGGCUGUGGGAUUGGUCACAACUCGUUUUAAACAAACUCGUGCAUCUUUGGUUCCCUCUACUUGGGAGAGAAUUCUUGUUGACAUCCUUAAGUAAUAAUGGCACUCCCUUCUAUCUUUUCGAUUAUGUCAAGUAGACAAAAAAUAUUUCUAUCCUUAAUUCCAUUUAGAACUAUUACUGUUUUAUCAAGUUGUGACUAAACCAGAAGUGAUGGUAUCUUUUAUGUUCAAAAGAAUAGAAAAAAUUAUGGCUUUUGUCAUAAACAAACAAACAAACAGACAAAUAUGGGAGUGUCAACUAAACUUCCCAGAAAGUGUACCAAACAUUUGCAAUUUAACAUGUGCUCAUCAUUCUUGAGCCGCCAUGGAUUAAGUGGAAAACAAGUCACUGGGCAGAAGUUGAAGUCGUUUUAGUUAAAUCCUUUUCAAGUCAGGAAUUUCAAUUUUUAACUCAUAAUAUAGUACCGUGUAAUUGACCGACCAGCACAAAUUUUCUUAGUCAACAUGGGAAUUAAGUCAAGUUGAAGCAAAUACAAGUCCGGAAUGAGUGGCUUCUGAAGAUGAGUUGAUGAUGAAGCCAGAAGAAGCAGCACAUAGUUUCUGUAUAAGUUAAUGGCUGCGUGACUUAUUCUGCCACUCACGACAUUUCUCCUUUGCAGAAGAGUUUUUUUUUUCCCACUUAUGUUCCUCAUUGAAUUGACCCUAAUAAUAAUAUAUUCCAGACAUAUUUCACUAUCCCAUUGUCCUCUUUCCCUUCCACCAAAAAGAAUCAAUUAUGUGUUAAUCGAAGCCCUCUAACUAUUUUGUUCUAAUAAAAAAUUUCACACAGGUACAAUCCACAAGUGGAAAUAUUUUUUGUUUAACCCGUUUAAAAUAUGUUUAGAACCAGAGACUUAGUCCACGAAUGGGAGUUUGUUUAAUGAGAUUCCUGUUUAGUUAGGAAUCCUCCAAGAAGCAAAUCGAAGAGGGAACUAAAGAAAAGGAAUUACUCCUAAAAUAUGGUACAUCCGCUAGCAUAUACCAUGAAAAAGUAGAUCGUCUGUGAGUAGUAUUUUGAUUUGUACAUCCAAGUGCAUGUAGUAGUGGAUAACUUUUGCAUUACUAGCAUAGAAUGAUAUUGCGAAGUAGUUACUCUUAACUUUUACAGUUUGAACAAGAGUGCUGUUGAAGGAUCCUUGACUAGGAAACCCUGAGUGGUACACUUGUCGCACGUUUUAUUGGGUACAAGUACAACAUAAGGUUUACGAAUACAUAUUUUUCCACAGCAAAACUAUCACAAAGAACAAGAAAGGAGUACAGAAACAGUAGAAUCACCCUAACAGGCACCGAACUAGUUCAAUACAAAUAUUGGAAACCAUACGAGGAUAAUUAAAUUAGGUCAAUAAUGCACCAUUUCUUGGAACAACCACAGCUGAGAGUGGCUUCUUCAUCUCACUUGACAGCUUCAAUACCUCAGUCAAAUCAACUGGCUGAGCUUCAUUGUUCUGAGCCAACAUGAAAUUCUGCACCAAUUUAGCCACCCAAAGGCUCACAGUCGCAAGUCCUAGGUUCUUCCCUGGACAAACCCUACGGCCUGCUCCAAAUGGUGCAAGCCUAAGGUCAUUUCCUCUCACGUCCAAAUUUACACCACCAGCCCAUGGUAUGAACCUCUCCGGCUUGAACAUCCAUGGCUCAUCCCACACCUGAGGGUCAUGUGUUAUAGCCCACAUGUUAACCAUGGCAACUGUGUUGGCUGGUAUGACCAUCCCAUUGCUCAGGUGGACAUCAUCCGUCGAUAAACGGGCCCACGACAUAAGGGGUCCUGGUGGAUGCAGCCUCAGAGUCUCUUUGAUCACAGCCUGAAGGUAGGGUAGCUUAGCCACGUCUGCAUCUGUGACACUUUUAUCUCCCAAAACAUUUUUCAGCUCAUUGUAAAGAUAGGUUUGGACUUGAGGGUGCAAAACUAAUUCUGCCAUGAUCCACUCAGUUAGAAGUGCAGUAGUGUCUGUGCCCCGAAAAAUCAUUUCCUGUAAAUCAUGUACAUCAACAGGCAGCUAAAUAGUCACUUGGCUAAGUGCCGAAGAAUAAAAUUUUGUUUCUUUUGUGUUGGUCACCAGCAAAAGAAUCGAAUUCUUGAAACCAUACCUUAGGAACCAAAAAUAAAUUACAUUUAGUCUAAUGCAAAUACUGCAACAACCCAACCUACCUAAUCAGUCCUAAAAAGGUUAAGUUUUAUUUUCUUUUAAGAAAGGUCAUUUUCAGCGUGCUCUGGUGCAAAAGUCCAGGUAUAUACUGUCGAAAUUCGUUAAGAGAUAGAAAGUUAUUUCCCAGGAAGACCUUCAUGAUCCCUUUAGAAAAUUGUUUGCCAGUUGGCAUUUAAUUGGCAUGAAAGAAAUAAUUUACAUUAUCAAACAGAAAAAAUGGCAUGCCAUCUAGUAGUGGUAAAGAGAAUUGAAAUGCAUUUACUAACCCAUAGAACAGCGACCAUAUCAUCUUCAUCAAGCUUUUCUUCACCUUCUAGAGAGAGCAAAACAUCGACAAAAUCAGAAUCAUCGGAGACCUCAGACGACUUCCCAACGCGAUGUUCUUCAAUAAUCUUUUUAACAAGUUUUCUAACCCGAAUGACAAGAGCUGAACAACGUUGUUGAAUGCGAAAAGGGUCAUAAAAAUUUUUCAACCAGGGCAAAUGAUCAGACCAAUUGAAUUCUCCCAAGAGCUCAAACCCUUCUCUGACCAUUUCAUGCAAUUCUUGAGCCUCUUCACUAAGUGAUGUCGUUUCAUACCUUUUACCAAACACAAUUUCCAUUAUAUUGUUUAAGGAAGCUACUUGUAGGUAUUUUCUAAGGCUUACAAACCCUUGCAUGGUUUGCUCCUUGGAAAUGGCCCUUAACAUAGCUGCGCAUUCUAGCUGACGUCCAGCUUCAUGGGCUAAUAUGCGCUUGGGUGCAAAGAGGUGAGAUGAGGCAAUUUUCCUCAAAAGCCUCCAGUAGGCUCCAUUGGGAGCGAAACCGAUGGCUCGGCUAAACAUGAGCUGCUUAGCCGACUGUUUUAUGGGACGGCUGGAGAAGUGGGGUGAGGUCAAGAUCUCACGAGCCGUUCGUGGUUCGGAAGCCACUACGACGGGAGUUGAUCCCAAGCUGAACGCCAUGAGUUGACUUGCACCAUGGCUUGAAGCCAUGCAUGCAAGAGUUCGGUGAGCCAAGCCGUGGCUCAAGUUGAAUAAGCUGCCUAUAAUUGGAAGGCCCCUGGGUCCGGGGAUUGGAACUUGGCCUAACUCGUUCCGGCCAGCUCUCCAUGCAGGCCCUCCAGAAGAGAAAGCCCAAGCAAUGAGCCCUGCAGCUAGGAAGAACAUGGCAGUAGAGAACAAAAUCCAAAUGUUGCAUAAGUUCUGGGAUUCAAGAAUUGCUGGGAGUGUAAAGAACACCCACCAAUUAUCCUCCGAGACUGAUGAAAAAUCCAUGUUUUUUGGUUGGUUUGAAUGAUGGAGUGGAAACGAAGAGAGUUUAAUAUGGAAUGGAAGAGGAUUUGUGGAAGGAAGAUUGCGAGGAUGAAGUGAAAGGAAUAAGGCGGCAGUGCUGCUUAAAUAGGAGGCAUGUCGUGUAGUGGGAAGCAAUUUGAAUGGUUAAAAUAUUAGUACCAUGGCUUUUAUUUUUGUUUUCAUUUUUUUUGGAAGAAAGGGUUUUUUUUUUUUGGGUGGGAGGAGGACUGAGGAGUGGUAUGGUGCUCAAAAUUGACUCAAAUGACGUCCAAGCACACAUUGGACGGACCAUUAAGCGAAUGGCUGUGUUUGAAGUAUUGUUUACUCGGCCUUCGUCUCACCUAAAUGAGUUUGUAUUUGACCUUCCCUCAUACUUUACAAAUACCUCUUCACUUACUGAUCACUUCUAUACUUGGCAGAAUACCCAGGAACAAGUUUUUAUGUUUUCUUAUUCUUAAUAUUUAAUCUUGAUCUUGUGCAAACCUAUGAUGCCAACAUCUUAUAGAAUACUGCAAUUUGGUAAAACUAAAGCACAAAGAAUUUGUCAAAUAAUGAUAGAAUUCAGGAAAAACUCAGUUGGAAACAGUCAGCUAAGCAGAGUCAAGAGCGAAAGGGAAAGAACAUUAGACAGUGAAAGAAAAGCACGCCCAAAAAAAAGGAUCACAUAGCUAUCAUGAGACAUAAAAACUAAAAAAUUAAUGCCUCAAAAGGAACUACAUGCCAAGUAUCUUCUUAAUCUUUUCCAUGGACGGAUCAUCUAAUUACCUGUGAAAACCUCUGUUAGAAAGAGUCUACGGAGCAGAGUCACUAGAAAAUGGGAAGAAGUAACACAGGCAGUGGAAAGAAAAGGAGUACAUUGGCGAUCAAAAAAUGUGAGACAAAAGUUUAUGCCUCAAAUGUAAUUAUUUGCAAAGUAGUAAUUUCUUAAUCAUUUCCUAGGAUGGAUCAACUAAAAUAUUCCGUUCUUGAAAACUGACAAUUUUCUUGGUAAGUUCACAUUUAGAUGUAUACAUUCAGCAUCCAAAACGAUUGGAUUACUGAGUAUUUAGAAUAGUGAAUAAUGUGUGCCGGCUCUUUCCUAGUGAAGUACACACCACAGACACAUCUCUUUCCUUGCUUACAUCGAUGAUCUGCCGUCAAGACACGAGCAUUAGCAUUUUCUUUCUAAGAUGUAUUUCUGAAAGAAUUUAUCUACUAUUAGUUUUCUAUUUCCAGUUGGCUAGCCUAGGAUAAGAUGGAAAAGCAUUCCAAUGGGAAGUCCAUUAUCACCCUCUCAAAAGCUAGCUAGCAUGGUGAGCUGUGUAAUGGUUGACGGCACUGUCAUUAACAAUUGCAUGGAACUCUCUCAAUCAACUAAUUGGUUGUAUUUAAUCGCGUUUGGUUUGCUUGAUUAGUUUGAUUUACCUUGUUAAUGAUGCUUUUUUGCUCUUAAUUACCACUACACUGUCCAUGGAGUUGGAGACUCGAAAAUCUUGAAGAGACGAUGAUAACACUUAAAAUUACUAUUUGGUUUUCAACAAAGUCACUGGACAUUAAUUUCAAUAUUGGCAAUCAUUUAGUCAUAUUUAUUUACAUAAAUAUCUUAACAUGCAUGAAAACUUUCUUUAAUAAUCUGGUCUAUCUCUCAUACACACACACAUGCACGCACGCACACAUUAAUUUAGGACCUCAAAGGGAAGAAAUUAAGCCAAACCCUUGAUGAAAAUAGAUACACAUCUUAUUGAUUUAAGAGGAUAGACCAUUAAUUUCAUUUUAAUAUUUUGAGAAGAAUUAUUCGCAUUAUUUCCAGCAUGAAGUGAGGGAAUAAUAUUCCGUGGCAAAUAAUUUCUUAGAAAAUCCCACCCUACUUUAAUAACUUAGAUCAACGUUUCAAAUACUGGGAUGUACGGACUAAAUUUGAUCAAAAACUGUACACAACUAAGUUUAAUGCGAGCAAAUGGCAUGAAUAAUGGAUAAUUAAUUAACAUAAAUAGAAAAUUUCUAAAAGAAUGAUAAUAAAAAUUGUAGAUAAUAGAGAGCUAGCUGUGAGUUAUAUCAUGACUUUCCGGUAGAGGAUGAAAUAUAGGAAUCUUUUCCACUAAUUGUGGAGCUAAUUUUUGUCUAUGGUCUUUGCGAACAAUAGAAAAUGAGUUUUCCUGUAGACAGACAGCUGUGGAAAAAGAAACAUAUAGUUAAAUAUACAUCUUUCUUGUCUAAAUGAAGCCAAACGAAGAAUGAGGUGCCUUUUCCUUAAAAUGAUGCUUAUUCACUGUCACACACGCACGCACACGCACAAGUACCUCUGCAUGCACAAAAUGGCAUAAAUAAACUGCCAAAUCCUAAUAUUAAUUCAAUUACUAUCCUUUUGCUCAGAGAAAUGCAGCCAAGCCAGUGUACAGUAAUUAAGAACUGAGGAAAUUUGUCGGUGUGUAUUUUCACAUUAAUCUACCUAUUGCGUGGCAAAUAAUUAAGGUAUUAACAUCCGAAGACUUUGCAGGCUGAAGAGACUCGAUUAAUUAGAGAUAUUUUGGUGCAACUAUGGAUAUCGAUAUGAACCCUAGGUAUGAUCAGGUCGGAUUACUGGUAAACACAGUACAGCUAAUUGCUAAUCACCAAGAAAGUUUAGGCACCGACCCCUUCGAACUUUGAAUGUCACAGUACCCGUUGUGUUUAACCAGCUUCCUUGUUUCCUUAAUUAAUUUGACCGGUUGAUGAUUGGAUAUAAACCUGUCUACUGUCUUGAAGAAGGCAGAUACAGCAAUUAAUUUUUGUUAUAGCCAUCACAGAAUAAAGAAGUAAUUAACUAAUGGGCGCACUGAAUAAGAAGUGGGUCUAGUCACUAGUGUUAUUUUUUCUGUGGAAAAAAAAUUCUAGUGAAAGUAUUGCAAUUCAGAGGGGCGGCGGGUGGUAGUUUUAAAGUAUCCAUAAUUAAUCCACUUUCUUUUUUUUAGUGUGCUUAUCAUAAUUGAGCCAUUUAAGGUGCAGUAUUCGGCUACUUCACCUAGUAGUGUAAUGCUUGUAUUGAAAUUUUUAAGAGAUGAAAUCUAAAAAGAAGUUUUUUAACAUGUGCUCAAUGGGCAUUCGUUAACAUAUUUGAAUUUCACCAAACUGAUCAUGUGUAUACACGUAUUAAUAAUUAUUACUUCCCAUUAUAUUUAUACAUACCUGAAGUAUAUCUUGAUAAUUGUCAAAUGGGUACCCGUUAGACAUAACCAUCUAAAAAUUAGUUACCUUUUAACGCCCUAUGAGGUAACGAUUAAAUUGAUGACCAAAUGCAAAAUAAAAUAGGAGGUUUCGAGGGUUUGGAUCGUCUCCUCCCAAGGAAAUCAAUUACAUCACCUAAUUUUGUUCACAGGAUACUUGUUCAGACAUUAUGACUAAAAUGUGUGUGUGUUUUUUGGUUAUCCUGCGUUGUAUAAUCUUUAAGUGAUCUACUGAUCUCUGUUGUGGUCUCGUAUAGUGGUGGCUAGAAACAAAUGGAGGCAGACUACUGAGCUGAACUAAAAAGAAAGCAAAGGUAUUUGCAGAUCUUUUGCAGGAACUUAAAAGUAGCAAGUUGAUUAGUCCAACGAAGAAUAGUAAUCCCCAGCAAUCUAGGCAGCACAACACUUUCCACCCCGUUAAUUACUCUCCUUUUACUAAUAAUUGUCCUCAUAAACAUUCAUCCGAAAGCACAGAAGAUCACACGAUCGAGCGUUUCAUCAAUCUCAACCACGCAAUCAGCACUUCACGCAAGCGCGCGCACACACAUUUACAAUUCCAAAGUUAGAUCCCUAACCUAAUACACAAAGUUUAUCGUCAAAAUCAAUGUGUGUGUGCGUGCGGUUUGGCGGGAAGCCAGGAGGGUGGGUGGGGUGAUUAAUUUGCAUAAUCCCAAUUAAACUCUCCAAAUCCAUAUGCCGAAUUCGUAUCUUGCUUACGAGGCUUCUCGUUGUUGAUGCAAGUGUUCGCCUGACCUCCAUUCAUUGUUGCAUUUUCACAAGGUUAAUAAUUUAGUAAUCUCGAAGAUUUGACACUAAUCAUGCUAGGUCACUGAUUUGCGCCGCCGUCCUAUUUUGUUCUGCGAGCCUACGCUAGGAGCUGCACCGGGCUAAUUGGUUAAACGAGUCUGAAAUUAUUAAGUACGAAAGUCAAAGAGAUUUUGAAAAAUUUUAUGCAACUAUAAUGUUGUUUAUUAUAGUUUUUGUUAAAUUUUGUGAAUGUUUGUUGUCUUGGGUGUCUUGCAUUUCCGGCUGCAACUGUUAAUCGUUGGUCGACCGUUGACAUGCAUGCCCAUGCACGCCCGUUUAGGUCGCUUAGUAAGAAGCAAGAAGCAAAAAAGGCGCCUUGACGUUCUAUAUCACAUUAUGUUUGGUCAUAUGCACGAGGGGGCAUUGUCAAAACGAGGCAACAACCAAAAAGAGCCUUGAUGUUUACUACUAAUACAAAGUGGAUCGGAGGUUCACAAGUUGAAUUCUGUUCAUUUCAAAGCGUUUCGUGUAAUUCUUAUUAUAUUGAGUAUAAAUUCGUACUAUUUUAUUAUAAUUAUCAUUUUAAUUAUACAAAUUGACACAUUUAAAUUUAUGCUUGACACUCAAAUGGUAUGAGUUUCUACUAAAAGUUGUAAGAAUCUCACAAAUUUAUUGAAUUCAACAGAACUCAACUUCUGAGACCUGAAUUGUACUCUCUCCGUCCCAUUUUGAUAGUCCUAGUUUUUUUCUCACACAGUUUAAGAAAAAGUAGUUAAUUUUGUUAGAAAAAUAAAUGCAAGUUGCUAUUUUUCUAAAAUACCCUUAUAUUAAACAGAGUACAACUUUAUAUUUAUGGUUUAUGGGAACUUGAAUUGAUGGUCAAGAAGAAUCAAUUCUCAUUCGUAUAUCAAUAUGUUUUGGAAAAUAUAAAUGUAUUAAAUGGGGUAGGUUAUAUUCAAUAACAAUCUAUAUUAAAUAAGGUAGUUUAUACUAAUAACAACCUACAUUGAAUAAGGGUAUUUUAGAGAAAUUUAAAAAUAAUUACAUUCUUCAACUGAACUACAAUUUAGGACAAAUGAAAACAGGACUAUCAAAGUGGGACGGAGGGAGUAGUAAGUUUAUUUAUGGUGUUUGACGCAAAUGGCAGAUAAGCAAUAGGUUGGGGCUUGGGAGAUACUCAAGGAAACUCGAUUUAUGGGUGCACUUGCAAAUUAUUGCAUAUGAUGUGGUCUAUACACGGUAAAAUAGUCAUUGUAAUUUAUGAUAAUGUAAAAGAAAAAUAUGAUAUGUCAUGUAUAUGAUAUAAAAAAAUUAUGUUAUUUUGAAAUAAUGAUCAACCAUCACAAUCAUAAAUCAGUCUCUACCCAAGUAUUAACCCUUGUGGUCUUGGAGAAGUUCAAUUUGGAUCUUGACAUUUGGUCAUGCGUGCAAGAGUGUCUAUGGUAAUGCAAGUAGUUGUGUUUGCAGUACAAUCAAAUUUACCAGUAUAUCAUAGUCACGAGUAUCCUGUCAAAUUGGUUAGCCGAACCAAUAUACAUAUAUAUAUACACACACACACACUACCAAAGGAAUUUUUUCUCAUCGUCAACUUUAUUCGAGCGCAAAACCAUGGUUGUAAUUGGUGGAAAGCAUGUUGCCUAGCCAAUCAAUUUCUUGCCAUGAUGGGGAAGAAGCUAUUCUUUAGUUCAUCUUUGAUCGUUGCAUGAAGCUCUAUCUUUGAUCGGCCUAUGGGUGUGUAGGAAUAAAAUUUUGUCUGAAUAUAUAGUAAUUUGCUUAUCAUCUGUUGAACAUGCAUGAAAAGAAUGACAAAUAUCUCUUACAAAUGGUUCCACAUCUUGCAACAAUUAAUAAAUUGCAUUAUCAUCAAAGCGUGGUUGCAGACUCUAUCUACCGAGUGAUCAGUUCUGAUAACGAAUGAUAAAAUCUUAUUAAAAUUCGUAACACAUUAAUACAGUCACCUAUUUUAUUUUCUCAUCAACUCUGUCCAAGAUUACUAGCAGUAGACAUAUGACAGGACAUCUCAUAUAGAAUUAGGUUUUAUCAUUUUUGAGAUUAUCUAUUACAGUUAAGAGGUCUUAUAAGAAGACCACAUUAUCAUAAAACAUUAAUUAAUUUGCCCUGUGCAACAGUUGGUGAGAGUCGAUCUUCACAUUCACUAUCUCCUCACUUAAAGAACUGAUUUGCGCAUGUAACUAGUUGCUUAAUUGCUUAUUAAUUUGUAGAUCUUUCUGUUCUUGUCGCCUCCAUAAUUAGGUAUGUUGGGAAUACAAAACAAUAACUGAUCAAAGAAGACAAUGAGUAAUCUUCAAGAAAGAGUACGAUGCUAACUUGUAUAGAAGAUGUUAGAAGCAAAUUCUCAACCAAAAAAAAAAAAAAGAUUACAAGUAUUUCUAUGCGUUGAAGAUUUACAAUAUUACCUUUUGUUUAAAUAUACAAAGAGUACUGUAUAAUAGGAAUUCUUCCGAUAAUUUUGCUGUUGCAAGGUAUUUUAUUUCAUAUCUUAUUAAACAUUUUAUGUUUUAUUUGGUAGAAUUCUCGUGUUUCUGUCUUACAUCAAUGUACUUAGACCAUUAUUUACAAUUUGAACUAAAAUGGCUAGCCGGCCACAAACUAAAAAUUUUAGCUUCAUUCCCAUCAAUGAUUAAGCAUAAUUAAAUACUUUCUCAUGUAAGACAUAAUUUUUCUUGCCUUGCAGCAAUUUCUGUAGGUACUUAAUUUUCUGAAUGCCGUCAUCCUUCCCGUCUACUCUUGCUUUCUUCUUCAAGUAUGGUCUCUUUGUUUUCCACCACCAAAAGCACCAAACUUCUUUUACGAAAACCGACAAAUUGCUAGUGCCAUAUGAAAGAAUUCUUUUGCAUGACUUCUUUUUAUAUAUUGGAACAACAGAAUUUCUUGAUGGAGAACGUAAAAAAAUCAGCAAAAAGAAUUGGCUGAAGAAACUUUGGAGCAGAUUGCCCCAGUGCAAUUUGCGAAGUGACAAGUCUAGCAUGUCUUGCAAAAGCAUGCGCUACAUUAUUACAUAUGAAAGAAUUUCGUACGAAUUAAUCUACCUUUAGGGUCUGUUUGGUUGGAAGUAAAAUGUUUUCCUUGGAAAAAUAUUUUUCGUGGAAGUAAUUUUCCAUAAAAAUCAUUUCCCUUCCAUCAUUUUCAGGUGUUUGAUUAGCUUAUUGAAAAUAUUUUCUUACUUCAUUUUUCUGGUGUUUGUUUAACUUUUGAAAUAUUUUCACUUUUAUCUCUAUCUUUACUUUCUACACAUUAUAACUACAUACUUCUUCCCAUGCAAAAUAAGAAAAUUUAUCUCAUUGUUUAACUUUAAAAAAUCUUGGAGAAAUGUAUAUAUGAAUAAAAAAUAUCUCCUUAAGCAAUAAACAAAUUGCUGGCCAUUUAGUGUCAAAUAUCAAUCACAUGCAAUGCUUAUUAUGACAUAUAUCUUGCACUCUCACUGCUGAAAGUUUCUCUAGAAAAGAAUGUCCCUAUUAUACAUAAUUAAUUAUUAGCAUAGGAUGAGCAGGAUGAGAUUUUUUUUUUAUUUUGAAUAUACUAGGGGGACGGUUGGGUUGGGUUGGGUUGGGUUGGGUGGCACGGGGGAGGGAGUGUAAGGAAGAGCUCUUGGGUUCGAGUCCUCCUGUUUACACUAAAAAAAAAAAAGAACAUACUACAAGAUGUUUUCAGUAAGUUUGGAACAUACUACAGGAGGGAUGCAUGCAUUUCGGAAAACAACUUCAAUAAGUUUAGAAGGGAAGUUGUUUUCCAUAAGAUGAGUGAAAAUAUUUUACAUAGGAAAAUGUUUUUAGUAACUUUUGUGCAACCAAACACGGGAAAUUAGGAAAAUAUUUUCCUGGAAAACAUUUUCACCCGAAACAAACGGACCCUUAAUGUGAAAUACCUGCGGUCGAGAAUUGAGGAAAUCACUAGUAUAUAUCUACUUUUUUUUCUUCUUUUCUUUUCUUGUUUUUCAUAAGAAGAUCAACUGCGAUUCUUUAUUUACUUCUCGAUGACUCGAAUUCAUGACCUAUUGUGAAGCGUCUUACCAUAUAGGUUGCAUUUCAUUGUACGUCCACUAGUUAUCUAUUGAUCAGAAAUUAGAGAGGGGUGAUUUAAAUAAAAAAAAAAAUGGCCAAACGUAAGAACUCUAACUUUUGAAUUUUAUUAAAACACCGACUGAAACUACUAGAUGGAGGGGACACAGGCCUUACACUCGAACAAAUCAAGGACCAUAUAAAAUGAUUCACUAGAUUAAUAUUACAGCUUACAAUUAAUGGGAUUGCUUAUAAAAUAAUGACCAGUAUUUAUCCAGCCCAUUGGACUCCUAAAAUUAGUAAUGGGCUACUUGGAAAAUUGGAUUGUUUUAAGUUUGGUCUGAAUUGAUUUGCAAAAAUUGCAUUAGACAAAAAAGUAUCUUACACUCAAAAGUUUUUAAAAAAUCAAAGAAAUUAUUAUUAUCAUUUAUCAAAAAUACUAAUAAUAAGGAAAAACAUUUUAACGAAUCAUAAUCAAACUUGAAAGUGGAUAUAACGGAUAGCAAUUUACCAUAACACAAAGGCAGAUAAAGAUUGCACAGAACAUUUCAAUUGAGGCCAUGUAUGGUGUACGGGCAGAUGCUUGAACAAACACCAUGAGCCGCAAUUCCGCAAAUUUGAAACCAUAUUUGUCGCUUCAAAUGGUAAUCAGUUCCGGCCUUUUCAAGUUGGUCUUGACCCCGCUUCACCGGGCUUGAACAAUGAAGCUCUCGUGCUCAAAUUCGAGUUCGUACUUAAUCUAGUUCGAAUAAAAUGAAAGCUAAUUAUAUAUUUUUUUUCAAAUGAAUAAAAUAGGUAUUUUACUGUAAUAAAUAUAAAAGCACAAGGGACUUGCAUUGUAACUUCACAACGAAUAAAAAUUUAUAAAAAAUAUAUAUAUUAGAUUGAUCCGGUUUGACGAAUCAAUGAAUCGAAUAUUGAUAUUCAGUCUCAAUUUGGCAAGUCGAAUCGAGUUUUGACCGAUCAGUUUGCAAGCGAUCGCAAUGCAGCACUAAGUACGGUAUAAAAUUUCAUCUAGAUUGUUUGUUGCAUCAGAUUUCUUACUUGAAGUAUUGAAUUGAAUAACUUUUCACACAAAUUCAAUUCUAAGUAACCUAAAUUACUCGUACACAAUACAUGUGCUAAUAUGCCUACGAAAGUUCAUGACAUUUUUAUCCGUUAAAACCAUACAUGCCAAGCGCACAUGCACAAUCUUGACAUAGAAAAUGUAAGAUAGAUAUUUAUUUCAUCGAAUCCAAUGGUUCAAGACAGGAAUUGCUGCAAAAACAGUUCAUGGCGACCAAUCUAACACAAGGGAAAUGUUCAAGGUGACAAAUUGCAGUUUCUCAAUCAGAUAUGAAGCACGGAUUGACAAUCUUGACAACUAAAACACAACUUCAAUAGGCUCAAACCCCUUGUCAAUAGAAGCCUUAACUGCAUCAAUAACAGCCU
rnacentral:lncRNA from 1 species